rnacentral:rRNA from 1 species
GUAGUGACCCUGCGGAGGAUCAUU